GGGUGCCCCCAGGAUGCGAUCACUCAUGCAGAUCGUUAGUGAACUCAUUUCUUGCUUUUUUCCUAAAUUCCUAGACUCGACCUUUUGGAGCCAUCUCCAGAUUGUUCCCAAGGGGGAUUUUCCUUGCUCUUGCGGAAGUGUGUGCUGCAGAAGAUAUUGGAGCAACUGCUGUGCAGUGAGAGUUGCAGACACGCUCUAACCUACAGGGCGUGAUUUGCAGGCGACACAAGGACAAUGAAGGAAAAGCUGGGCUCUUCAGCAAGUGGCUGCUGGACAGGUGUAACAGAGCACCUGCUGCAAGCUGGGAGGCGGUGAGAGGCCAGCGAGGCUUGGGGAACACGGAGGCCAGCAUUUCCACCCCCCAGCCUCGCGCCCCCAAAGACUGUGCCCGCCAAGAGGUGGAGUCUGCAGGUGGGGAGGUGAUGGGGUCCCUGUGGAGAGGAAACAUCAGCUCAUAUGAGAGGACAUCAGAAAGCUCAUGGAAAGUGAGCAUUGUUAAAAAAAAAAAAACCAACUAUGCAAGGCCUUUAUUUUUGUUUUGCUACACAAUGAGCGUAUCUGUUAAUCCCAGUUUUCCAUCAGUAUUUCAAGGUGCCCCUUAGAGCCGUAGCAAAAUAAUAAGGCCUGAAGGAAGACACUGAAGGCAUUUGUGAAAAUUUUGGAGAAAGAUGGGAUUUGCAGGAGUGGACAUUUGGCCUAGCAGUUGAGACCCUGACUGAGAUGCCCGCGUCCCACAGCAGAGUGCCCGGGGUUCUGCCCCAGCUCCGGACUCCAGCUUCCUGCUCAUGCAGACCCUGGGAAGCAGUGGUGAUGGACGCAGUAACAGAGGCCCUGCCACCCACGUGGGAGGCCUGGGUGGAGUUCCCAGUUCCUGGCUCUGGCCCUGAGCCAGCCCAGGCUGUUGUGAACAUUUGGAAAGUGAACCAGCAGAAGGGAGCUCUGUCUCUCCUACUAAUAAAAAAAUAAAAAGAAAGUGGCUUUUGGGCCACGUGUUAGAGAGUGAAGGGGAGUCUGCCCUGUAGCUGUUGGCCAGGCCCAGUGAAGAACACUGUGGCUCUCGAGCUGUGCAUAUCUGGGCUUGAGAAAGAGCCUGCUGAAUCCUGGAUCCUGCCCGGCGCACGGCAGUGGGCAGUGAUGGAGGCUGAGGCUGGAAGGGAAGCAGCACCACUUCCUGGAGG